rnacentral:lncRNA from 1 species
AGGCAAUUGUUUCCCAUUAGGGAAAUGUUGGGUUUCCUUUAGUGAUGAAAGGCAAUAACACAACAUGUAAUUCCUGUAGCUGUAAUAUAAUGCGUCCAGAACCAAAACACAACCCUCCCGGGAGCCACAUCUACAGAGUGCCCAGAAAGAGGUCUCAGAAGCCACUGGAUCCUGGAACACCUCACUCUUGCUGAUUAAAUUCUGCAGCCUGCAGAGAACCCCCUUGUCUCUGGCAAGCACCUUCUGAACACAAAAUAGAAAAGACCUCAAGCAGAGCUGUGGGGAAAAAAAUGUUCUGCCUUCCAGUGAUGUGAGAAAAGAAAACACAGUGAAGCCCUGGGUAAAGGAGAAGAUGGAGUUGUUUUGAUUUUCCCACAGGGGAUAUUCAGCAGAUGAAUUUGCCUAUUUUCUUUCUCCUAAACAGCCAGGCUACCUUGAGAGAAGCAAGAGAUCCUCUCCCUUUUGCCAAAAUCUGCCUCCCCCAGGAGACUGUGCUUUGCUCAUA